rnacentral:misc_RNA from 1 species
GGGUAGUGAUCCAGCCAGGACAGCAACAAGGCAUAGGCAAUCAACCCCCCGGUUACGGUAAUCCAACCCCAGGAUACAACCAAGGUCCCGCGCCUUACUAAAGAAAGAAACAAGUUUAAAGAGACUAGAUAAUAGUUAUUGACUCUAAACUAUUUAAAUCUUUUGAAAACGUAAGAUUUCUACAGAACGGUUUUAAAAUCAUAUAAUAUGCGGGGGGGGGUGUUUAUAUUUUGAUAGUGUAUGGCUAGAAAAAAUGAUAUUUGAAAUUUAUAGAUGAAUGGUAUUAAUGUUCUGAAGAUCAUCCAAUUCCUUCAAUUUAAAAGAUUCAUUUUUCUUGACAUCUAUGACAGAGCAAAACAUUAACAGGUUGUGCUUAUAAUUGUUGAUAAAGAGAGAUAAUUGUACUUUGUAAUCUGGAUUUGAAGUUUACUUGACUUAAUUAUUUGUAACUUUUAGAAUGUUGGCUUUUAUAUUAAAAUAUAAGAAUUG